rnacentral:tRNA from 1 species
UCCCUGGUGGCUCAGAGGUUAAAGCGUCUGCCUGCAAUGCGGGAGACCUGGGUUCGAUCCCUGGGUUGAGAA